rnacentral:rRNA from 1 species
UGGGGAAUAUUGGACAAUGGGCGAAAGCCUGAUCCAGCAAUGCCGCGUGAGUGAUGAAGGCCUUAGGGUUGUAAAGCUCUUUUACCCGGGAAGAUAAUGACUGUACCGGGAGAAUAAGCCCCGGCUAACUCCGUGCCAGCAGCCGCGGUAAUACGGAGGGGGCUAGCGUUGUUCGGAAUUACUGGGCGUAAAGCGCACGUAGGCGGUUUUCUAAGUUAGAGGUGAAAGCCUGGAGCUCAACUCCAGAAUUGCCUUUAAGACUGGAUCACUUGAACGUCGGAGAGGUGAGUGGAAUUCCGAGUGUAGAGGUGAAAUUCGUAGAUAUUCGGAAGAACACCAGUGGCGAAGGCGGCUCACUGGACGACUGUUGACGCUGAGGUGCGAAAGCGUGGGGAGCAAACAGG